AGACGGGGGGUGCUAGCGUUGUUCGGAAUUACUGGGCGUAAAGGGCGCGUAGGCGGCGCUGCGAGUCGGGCGUGAAAUCCCGGGGCUCAACCCCGGAACGGCGCUCGAUACUGCGGGGCUGGAGACCGGAAGAGGAGGGUGGAAUUCCCAGUGUAGAGGUGAAAUUCGUAGAUAUUGGGAGGAACACCGGUGGCGAAAGCGGCUCUCUGGUCCGGUUCUGACGCUGAGGCGCGAAAGCGUGGGGAGCAAACAGGAUUAGAAACCCUAGUAGUCC
rnacentral:rRNA from 1 species